CACCGCGGUUAUACGAGAGGCCUAAGUUGAUAGACAGCGGCGUAAAGAGUGGUUAAGGAAAGUACAAAACUAAAGCCGAACGCCUUCAGAACUGUCAUACGUCUUCGAAGGUAUGAAGCCCGACCACGAAAGUGGCUUUAUUCCCCCUGAACCCACGAAAGCUAAGGAACAAACUGGGAUUAGAUACCCCACUAUGCUUAGCCCUGAACAUUGAUUGUUUAUUACACCAAACAUCCGCCUGGGUAUUACGAACACCAGUUUAAAACCCAAAGGACUUGGCGGUGCUUAACAUCCACCUAGAGGAGCCUGUUCUAGAACCGAUAACCCCCGUUUAACCUCACCCUCCCUUGUUUUUCCCGCCUAUAUACCACCGUCGUCAGCUUACCCUGUGAAGGCCAAAUAGUAAGCACAAUUGGCAUAGCCCAAUACGUCAGGUCGAGGUGUAGUGCAUGAGAGGGGAAGAAAUGGGCUACAUUCGCUAGCAACUUAGCGAAUACGAAUGAUGUGUUGAAAUACACAGCUGAAGGAGGAUUUAGCAGUAAGCAAGAAGCAGAGUGUCUUGCUGAAACCGGCUCUAAAGCGCGCACACACCGCCCGUCACCCUCCCCAAGCUCCCUGGACAUUUUUAACUAAAGCCCUACAACUGCAAAGGAGAGGAAAGUCGUAA
rnacentral:rRNA from 1 species